rfam:Triticum aestivum genome assembly, contig: Triticum_aestivum_CS42_TGACv1_scaffold_602540_7DL
AUACUACUCCCUUCGUUCGAAAAUACUUGUCGGAGAAAUUGAUAAAUGAAUGUAUCUAGAACUAAAAUACGUCUAGAUACAUCCAUUUCUCCAACAAGUAUUUUCGGACAGAGGGAGUAUUUC